AGCAGCGGAGCAUGCGGCUUAAUUCGACGCAACGCGAAGAACCUUACCAAGGCUUGACAUAUACAGGAAUAUGGCAGAGAUGUCAUAGCCGCAAGGUCUGUAUACAGGUGGUGCAUGGUUGUCGUCAGCUCGUGUCGUGAGAUGUUGGGUUAAGUCCCGCAACGAGCGCAACCCUCGUUCUGUGUUGCCAGCAUUUAGUUGGGGACUCACAGGAGACUGCCGGGGUUAACUCGGAGGAAGGUGGGGAUGACGUCAAAUCAUCAUGCCCCUUAUGUCUUGGGCUGCACGCAUGCUACAAUGGCUGGUACAAACGGCUGCGAUACCGCAAGGUGGAGCGAAUCCGAUAAAGCCAGUCUCAGUUCGGAUUGGGGUCUGCAACUCGACCCCAUGAAGUCGGAGUUGCUAGUAAUCGUAGAUCAGCAACGCUACGGUGAAUACGUUCCCGGGGCUUGUACACACCGCCC
rnacentral:rRNA from 1 species